rnacentral:rRNA from 1 species
UAAGGAGACUGCCGGUGACAAACCGGAGGAAGGGUGGGGAUGACGUCAAGUCAUCAUCGGCCCUUACGGCCGUGGGCUACACACGUGCUACAAUGGUCGGUACAAAGGGUUGCCAAGCCGCGAGGUGGAGCUAAUCCCAUAAAACCGAUCGUAGUCCGGAUCGCAGUCUGCAACUCGACUGCGUGAAGUCGGAAUCGCUAGUAAUCGUGAAAUCAGAAUGUCACGGUGAAUACGUUCCCGGGCCUU